ensembl:lncRNA
CGAGUGCCUUAGCCAGGCCAGAGGCUUGCAUUGUGUUGGUGCUGACCAAAGUUACAUAGAUGUUUAGGAAGUUUCUUUUCAGGCUGUGUUAUGGAAAAUGCCCCUUUAGGGUUGUCAAACAAAUAAUUCCCCUGGGUUUGAGGAGGGAUGUGGGAUAGAAAAAUGUAAAAAAGCCUGGACAGAGUAUUGCUACUGCUGCCUUUUUUGUUAUCCUUAAUAACAUUCAUGAUCCUCUGCAAUGCACAGUUUGAAAUUGCCACAACUUAAAGUGACUUCUUCCACAAAUACUAAGAGAUGUAGUUUAAGGGGUUUUAAUUAUAAGGAUAAUAGAGUGACUUAUAAAUUUAAAAAGUAAAUGUUUUUCCUUGGCAUUUAACAUUAUGAUUGAAAUACUUGUAAUUCUAUUUUUUUUUUUUUUGGUACUGGGGAUCGAUUGUAAUUCUAAUUUCAAAAAGAAAGUUAAAUGCUGCUUGUGGUCUAGGAUGUUACAAUACUACUACCAGCAUGUCAUUCAUUCUUGCAAAGAGUUGGGAAGAGGAGUAUACGUCUAGAGUUACCCAAGUUCUAAAUAGAUACCAAGAGUAUUGGUUCUGACCUGGAGCCUGUGCAUUUGGAGAAUAUACACAAGAUCUUUUUAAAGGAAAGAAGGGACCACCUUAUGGCCCCAUGAAUUUGAAAGUUUCUAUGUGUGUUUAGCUUUCAAAGGACUGGUUUAUUUGGUAAUCAACCAAAAGCAUUUGAAAUGUACCUUGCUUUCCAAAGGUCACUUUGACUAACUUAUAGAGAAUAAAAGAUAAUAUGAAGGUGUUUAUAUCAAAGACUAUGCUUCCCACUUAUAUUUUUAAUUAGAAGCCUAUUUGUAAUUCUUCAUCAUUCACUUGAGCUUGCUCUCAACUAGACACUGCCUAGAAUAGACAGACCACUCAGUUUUGCUUUGUUACUUCUGAGAUCUUGCCACAUUCAUAUCUCCUUGAUUGCCUUAGAUCUCUCAAAGUAACCCUGAUGCACUGUUUCUUUUUUUCUUUCUUUCUUUUUUUUUGGCCAGGGUCUCACUAUGUAGUUCAGGCUGGCCUUGAACUAGUCACUAUGUAACCCAGGCUGGCCUCUCAGUGAUCUUCCUGCCUCAGCCUCUGAGCGUUGGGAUUACAGGGGAUGUGCCGCCACGCCUGGCUGAGACUUUUGACUUUGGGUUCCCAAAUAAGCCAGAAGUAAGUAGAGAAAUCUGGUUGUGUUGACACCUGUGUUCAGAGUGGCCUUAUUUUGGCCUUAGAAUGGGCUUGGUCCAGCACUCUAUAGGAAAUUUGUGAAGUCAGAAUUUUCUUUGUCCCAUGAGGUAUCUAUGUAAGGUAGCAUGCCCUUUCUUGAACACCCUGUGGGUGAAUAACCUUACUAAGUUAGCUGCCAGUACUACAACCUUCCAGGAAGAAUUUUAACUAGUAUGCUGCAUUUGAAGCACUUUGACAUGUACAUUUAAGGUUACAGUCUUUUUUGUUGUUGUUGUUGGUACUGGGGAUCGAACUCGGGUCCUUGUGGUUGCACAGCAUUCAGCGAAACCACUGAGCUAAAUCCCCGGCCCUAAGGUGACAGUCUUAACAGUAAAAUGGUGUUAAAUUAAUCACUGUGAAACUUGAAAGUGUCAUGCUCUGGACAUUUUAGGAAGCUUGCAUAAACUUCUGAAUUUUCUUUUCUUUUUUUUUUUUUUUUAAUUUUCUUUAUUAAUUAUGUGAUCGAUGAUUUGUGUGUUUUAGUUUUCAUCUUUGACAGUGGUACGAGUGAUUGGCAUAAUGGUAGGCAAUUUAGAGUACAGUGUAGAGUAAAUCAUGGUUGUCUCUCUUCCAGAGAAAGUGGUGAUAUGUGUGCUUCUUCCUUGCGUGGAGCCAAGAGAAUUGGAUUUAUGCGCUGAUUCAUCUCUACUGUUUAUAUGGUGCAAAAUAAAUGUAACCUUAUUUUUUAAGCUGCAUGCUAGUAAUAUGCUUUUCUCUUUAAUAAAAAAGCGAGAGAUAGUAAUCUAGCUGGUUUUUGUUCUUCAGCAAGGAUCUGCACUUUUUACAGACAGAUGUUAAAUGAGUUCAUGUUUAGGUAGCAGAAGAAGUUUUACCAUCGGAAUCCCUCUCACAGGUAGCCUACGCAAGGGGUUGUAUUGCAUCUGGUCUGGAAGACCCGGUUCCCAGGACUGGCAAGUGUCACAUGAACUGUCUUUAACAAAGGCUCGUCUCUCUAGGAAAACCAUUUGGACACAACAGAACAGUUGUUCUGCUCUUCCACAGGGCAGUCACCCUGUCUUCCUCUUCAGAGAAUCGUCCUUAGAAAGCUGGGCUCAAAUGAGAGCAGUGCUGUUUUUAAAGCAUGCAGGUUGGAUGAUGGCCUAGAGAACCUAGAAGCUACACUGAAACUGGAGACACUACCCGCUUUGGCAGCACACGCUAACAUUGAAAUCACCGACAACAUGGAAGGCACAGGGAGUGGCUGAGGUGCUGUGAUGCCUUCUGGCUCUUUGGUUGGAGUCUUCUCUCGAGCAGUUUCUGAGGAUGACAGUUAAAAUUAGAACUGAUUUUGGGUUUUCAUCAAACUACCCACAAUUCACCAUGAAUUCUAGAUUGUGAUAUUUUUAAUGAACACUUUUUAAUAUCCAGCAAGUAAGCCCUUGACAUAAUGUGCUUGGAUAAUACUUGAUUUUACUAACCAGGUUAUAAAAGUCUGAUUUAAUUUUGCAUGAUCUGUGAAUGCUGCAUUAUAAAUCUGUUAUUCAGUAUCACACUUUGAGCUUAAUAACUACUACUUGAGACUGCUUAUAAUAUAAACAUUUUUUAAAGAUUAUUUUACUUAAACCGCUUAAUCUCAUGAGAGCAAUGAUUUAGGAGACAAAGACCCAGCUAUGUGUAAUGAUUUGCUCAUUUCAAAAUAGCCCAAGAGGGCCAGACAUUUAGCUCAGUGGUUUAGCCGCGUGCUGCGCAAGCACAAGGACCCGAGUUUGAUCCCUGGUACCAAAAAAGAAAAAAAAUAGCCCAAGAAAGCAGAAUUUAUUGUUGAGACUCAAGUUGCAAAAAACAUGGCAUUUCCUCUGGGAAGGGGAAGGUAACGGUUAAUUACCCAGCCGCCUGCCUUCUUUACUUUCCUUCCCAUCUAACACAGUAGAUUAAACUGUGGCUACUUGCAGAAAAGAAAAUUAAUAUUUUUCUUCUAAGUAAAAGUGACUGAGACUUUAUUGCCCUGUGACUAAGACUAUGUAGCAGGAAUCUGGCUAAGUCAGUUAUUGAGGGUUUGCGUGGCCCUGGUAGAGUUGGCCCUCAGGGUUAUUCUGAAAUGAGAGACCAAUUCCAUUCCUUCUCAGGUACCUAGAGACAGCUCCGCUAGAGCAGGUGGAAUGUGCUUGGUGCAAAUAGAGUAUAUAAUUAGCAAGAUGAAGAGGAGCAUAAGAUCUUCUUUUCCCUUUCAGGCAUAAUUGGACAUAUCAGUAACUGGUCUAAGAUUUGCUGUGGCUGUAGUAAAUAAUGUAUUUAUUUUAGCUGGUUAUGUGUGCUCUCUGUAUAUAUAUAUAUCUAACGUGCAUACACUCUGCGUAUGUAUGUAUGAUACCAUGUAUGUACAGAGUCUACUCUAGAUUAUCAGCCACAUGGAAAGCCCCUCUUAGUUUGUUUAUUGAUGUGGAAUUGGUGUGCAUGUGGCCCGUCACUCUGGCGCCUCCUUCCGGUCUAGAGCCGCAGCCUUUCUUCCUGGCCGUUCAUCUCAGUCUUUGAGAAAGCCCUUUAAACGUGUCACUUUCCACGUCCUUUUAACCCCGGGAUCCUGUGAGCCAAAAGACAGCUUCCGAGAAUGCUGGCUGCUUCCACCAGGGCAGAGGCCUCUGGGUCUGCACAGUCAGGGGCGCAGUCCUGGCCCCGAGAGCAGCUGUGUGAGCAGCGGAGCCCAUGGGCUUGCAGAGGGAGGCCUCUCAACGCUUGUAGAAACAGCUUUGCGACUUGCUUCAGUUACUUUGCUCCAGUGUGAAGUCUCAGGUAACUUGAUGUAGAGUAUGACAGUGCAUCUCAAUGUUAAUUUUGCAUUAUCUGUACUACUGUUGUUCCCUGCUGCUAGCCCAGAUAAUCAAGACCUGACUGUUUCUCAUCACUGGAUUGUGGAAACCUUGACCUUUCAACUGGAUUUAUGUUUAUUUCUGCUGCUGUGAACCCCAAAAAUAAUGCAGUAG